rnacentral:rRNA from 1 species
AGUGAGGAAUAUUGGACAAUGGGCGCAAGCCUGAUCCAGCCAUGCCGCGUGCAGGAUGACGGUCCUAUGGAUUGUAAACUGCUUUUGUACAGGAAGAAACACUGGUUCGUGAACCAGCUUGACGGUACUGUAAGAAUAAGGAUCGGCUAACUCCGUGCCAGCAGCCGCGGUAAUACGGAGGAUCCAAGCGUUAUCCGGAAUCAUUGGGUUUAAAGGGUCCGUAGGCGGUUUAGUAAGUCAGUGGUGAAAGCCCAUCGCUCAACGGUGGAACGGCCAUUGAUACUGCUAAACUUGAAUUAUUAGGAAGUAACUAGAAUAUGUAGUGUAGCGGUGAAAUGCUUAGAGAUUACAUGGAAUACCAAUUGCGAAGGCAGGUUACUACUAAUGGAUUGACGCUGAUGGACGAAAGCGUGGGUAGCGAACAGGAUUAGAUACCCUGGUAGUCCACGCCGUAAACGAUGGAUACUAGCUGUUGGAAGCAAUUUCAGUGGCUAAGCGAAAGUGAUAAGUAUCCCACCUGGGGAGUACGGCCGCAAGGUUA